CUAGGGUGCUGAAUUCUACCCAAAUGAAGACAUAAUAACAAGCUGUCCAAGAUGGCCCUCCAGGCUUCCUGUGUGCCGCUAUCGAAGCCCUUGUGUAGUUUCUUCCUACAUUAUACCUGGAUGGAGCCCCUGAAGAGGAGGUGAGGAAACCCUGCCUCACGAGUCAUACUGGCCACUCCAGGGUUUGCUUCUUUGCCCCAAGUGGACUCCAGCAAGACAGAAGCAUUCUGGGAUGGACGUCUGCAGAGGAUGGAUGAUACCAGCAUCUGGGAGUCCCUGGUUGAGUCCUGGAAGCAAAAGAGAGAUGACUCACCCUUGAAGACUGAGCCUCGGUUUCUCCAACUGUGUCCGGUGUGACUAAUGCUCGCUCCUGAUGGCUCUUUGAUGUCCCCUGUGCCACACCUUCACCCCUCAACUAUUUCAUGCGCUGCCCUACUCGCCUGUUCACUCGCCUGCCUGAAGUGAGGCCAGAACCUGUUUUACUCCAUAUUUUACACUCCAGCACCUAUCUCCGUGGUUAGCACAUAUGAGGCGCACAGGAAACACUGGACGAAUGAACGCGUGCAUUCACAGUCUUACAGAGAAGAUGAGCGAGG
rnacentral:lncRNA from 1 species